rnacentral:rRNA from 1 species
AACCAGCUCUUCAAGUGGUCGGGAUGAUUAUUGGGCUUAAAGUGUCCGUAGCCGGUUUAGUAAGUUCCUGGUAAAAUCAGGUAGCUUAACUAUCUGUAUGCUAGGAAUACUACUAUACUAGAGGGCGGGAGAGGUCUGAGGUACUACAGGGGUAGGGGUGAAAUCUUAUAAUCCUUGUAGGACCACCAGUGGCGAAGGCGUCAGACUGGAACGUGCCUGACGGUGAGGGACGAAAGCCAGGGGAGCGAACCGGAUUAGAUACCCGGGUAGUCCUGGCCGUAAACGAUGCAUACUAGGUGAUGGCCCGGCCAUGAGCCGUGUCAGUGCCGUAGGGAAACCGUUAAGUGUGCCGCCUGGGAAGUACGGUCGCAAGGCUAAAACUUAAAGGAAUUGGCGGGGGAGCACCACAAGGGGUGAAGCCUGCGGUUC